CCUACGGGUGGCAGCAGUGAGGAAUAUUGGUCAAUGGGCGCGAGCCUGAACCAGCCAAGUAGCGUGAAGGAUGACUGCCCUACGGGUUGUAAACUUCUUUUAUCAAGGAAUAAAAUGAGGCACGUGUGCCUUUUUGUAUUUACUUUAUGAAUAAGGAUCGGCUAACUCCGUUCCAGCAGCCGCGGUAAUACGGAGGAUCCGGGCGUUAUCCGGAUUUAUUGGUUUUAAAGGGAGCGUAGAUGGGGUGUUAAUUCAGGGGUAAAAUCGUGGCGCUAAACCCCAUCCAGCCGUUGAAACUGGGGAUCUAGAGUGUGCGAGAGGUAGGCGGAAUGCGUGGGGUAGCGGUGAAAUGCAUAGAUAUCACGCAGAACCCCGAUUGCGAAGGCAGCAUACCGGGGCACAACUGACGCUCAGGCACGAAAGCGUGGGUAUCGAACAGGAUUAGAUACCCCGGUAGUC
rnacentral:rRNA from 1 species